CCUGCCACCAUCCCUCAGCAAGCUGGCUGAUGUCCCAAGGGCUUCGCAUGAGCUGAUGCUUCACCUUUGAGGAAUCUGCUAGUCUCAAGACAAUGCCAAAAGUAUUGAAGCCUUCUGGUUUCCCUUCUUGGCAGCAACAACAAUUUCUGUGUCUUCCACAGAUACUCAGUGAAGAUGACAGGUAUGCUGUGCUCAUUUUUCAUAUGCAGAAUAAAGCUACUUUCAGAAUUAAGGGCCCAGGA
rnacentral:lncRNA from 1 species